rnacentral:rRNA from 1 species
UACGGGGGGGGGCAAGCGUUGUUCGGAAUUACUGGGCGUAAAGGGCUCGUAGGCGGCCAACUAAGUCGGAUGUGAAAUCCCCAGGCUUAACUUGGGAACUGCAUCCGAUACUGGAUGGCUUGAAUCCGGGAGAGGGAUGCGGAAUUCCAGGUGUAGCGGUGAAAUGCGUAGAUAUCUGGAGGAACACCGGUGGCGAAGGCGGCAUCCUGGACCGGCAUUGACGCUGAUGAGCGAAAGCCAGGGGAGCAAAACGGGG